AGAAUCAACGCUGGCGGCGCGCUUAACACAUGCAAGUCGAGCGAGAAAGGGGAGCAAUCCCUGAGUACAGCGGCGUACGGGUGAGUAACACGUGGGUAAUCUGCCUUCUAGUGGGGGAUAACCCUGGGAAACCGGGGCUAAUACCGCAUAAGCCUGUGAAGGGAAAGCGAGCAAUCGCGCUGGAAGAGGAGCCCGCGGCCGAUUAGCUAGUUGGUGGGGUAACGGCCCACCAAGGCGAUGAUCGGUA
rnacentral:rRNA from 1 species